rnacentral:tRNA from 1 species
CAAAUUAAAGCUUUAAAUAGUUUUUUAUUUACAUUAAAAAGAUAAUUGAAUUAAUCAAUUUAGUUUGA